GUUAUGUUUAGGGCUAGGUUUAGAUUUAGGUUAUGUUUAGGGUUAGGUUUUAGGUUUAGGUUAUGUUUAGGGCUAGGUUUAGAUUUAGGUUAUGUUUAGGGUUAGGUUUUAGGUUUAGGUUAUGUUUAGGGCUAGGUUUAGAUUUAGGUUAUGUUUAGGGUUAGGUUUUAGGUUUAGGUUAUGUUUAGGGCUAGGUUUAGAUUUAGGUUAUGUUUAGGGUUAGGUUUUAGGUUUAGGUUAUGUUUUAGGGCUAGGGUUAGAUUCAGGUUAUGUUUAGGGUUAGGUUUUAGGUUUAGGUUAUGUUUUAGGGCUAGGGUUAGAUUUAGGUUAUGUUUAGGGUUAGGUUUUAGGUUUAGGUUAUGUUUUAGGGCUAGGGUUAGAUUCAGGUUAUGUUUAGGGUUAGGUUUUAGGUUUAGGUUAUGUUUUAGGGCUAGGGUUAGAUUCAGGUUAUGUUUAGGGUUAGG